rnacentral:rRNA from 1 species
ACGCUCGACACCUACGAGGCAGCAGUGGGGAAUAUUGCACAAUGGGGGAAACCCUGAUGCAGCAACGCCGCGUGAAGGAAGACGGUUUUCGGAUUGUAAACUUCUGUUCUUAGUGAAGAUAGUGACGGUAGCUAAGGAGCAAGCCACGGCUAACUACGUGGCAGCAGCCGCGGUAAUCUGAGCGGGCUGGCAAGGC